UACGUAGGUGGCAAGCGUUGUCCGGAUUUAUUGGGCGUAAAGAGCGUGUAGGCGGCCAGGUAGGUCCGUUGUGAAAACUCGAGGCUUAACCUCGAGACGUCGAUGGAAACCAUCUGGCUAGAGUCCGGAAGAGGAGAGUGGAAUUCCUGGUGUAGCGGUGAAAUGCGCAGAUAUCAGGAAGAACACCCGUGGCGAAGGCGGCUCUCUGGGACGUGACUGACGCUGAGACGCGAAAGCGUGGGGAGCAAACAGG
rnacentral:rRNA from 1 species